ACCUGGGUGGCUCAGUCGGUUGAGCGUCUGACUUCAGCUCAGGUCAUGAUCUCAUAGCUCUGUGAGUUCGAGCCCCGCAUCGGGCU
rnacentral:tRNA from 1 species